rnacentral:miRNA from 1 species
CCCAGCAUUCAUCAUACUUGUUCU